rnacentral:rRNA from 1 species
AGUGAACGCUGGCGGCGUGCCUAAUACAUGCAAGUCGAACGAAGUGGCGCACGGGGGAGUAAUAUAUAGUUAAUCUGCCCUACACAGAGUAACAACAGUUGGAAACGACUGCUAAUACCUCAUAGUGUAGGAUGAGAAUAUAUCGUAUCAGCUAGUUUGUAAGGUAAUGGCUUACCAAGGCUAUGACGCGUAACUGUGCUGAGAGGAUGAUCUGUCACAUUGGAACUGAGGCACGGUGCGGACUCCUACGGGAGGGAGCAGUAAGGAAUAGUGCGCAAUGGGGGAAAGCCUGACGCAGCAACGGCGCGUGGAGGAUGACAAUUUUCGGAGCGUAAACUCCUUUUAUCAGGAAAGCGGUACCUGAUGAAUAAGCACCGGCUAACUACGUGCCAGCAGCCGCGGUAAUUC